UCUCCCCUACUUCCCUUAAACUCACUCGUAUUUCUGAAGAACAGUAAUAACCUCAACAUUUUCUCAUACACCAUGAAAAUUGAACCUCCCCCUCUAGGCAGUUACCCCAUCAAUCCCCGUUACAACCUCUGACGGCUGCCGCCCUAGCUGGAUCCCUAGGAGUCUGGGUACAAGACACCCCUUUCAGCACUCCUUCUCACCUUUUUCUUUGCAUCUCCAGUUUUACCUCGCACAAGAUCUCUUCUUCCUCUGUGGAUCCUCUACCUACAUGUGUCUACCUGCUAAUUGGACAGGCGCAUGCACACUAGUUUUCCUUACCCCCAAAAUUCAAUUUGCAAAUGGGACCAAAGAGCUCCCUGUUCCCCUCAUGACACUGACAUGACAAAAAAGAGUUAUUCCACUAAUUCCCUUGAUGGUCGGUUUAGGACUUUCUGCCUCCACUAUUGCUCUUGGUACUGGAAUAGCAGGCAUUUCAACCUCUGUCACGACCUUCUGUAGCCUGUCUAAUGACUUCUCUGCUAGCAUCACAGACGUAUCACAAACUUUAUCAGUCCUCCAGGCCCAAGUUGACUCUUUAGCUACAGUUGUCCUCCAAAACCGCCAAGGCCUUGACUUAGUAACUGCUGAAAAAGGCAGACUCUGUAUAUUCUUAAAUGAAGAGUGUUGUUUUUACCUAAAUCUAU
rnacentral:lncRNA from 1 species